UACGUAGGGUGCAAGCGUUAAUCGGAAUUAUUGGGCGUAAAGGGCGCGUAGGCGGCCGUGCAAGUGGAAGGUGAAAUCCCUCGGCUCAACCGAGGAACUGCCUUUCAAACUGCAUGGCUUGAGUCCGGGAGAGGUGAGUGGAAUUCCCAGUGUAGCGGUGAAAUUCGUAGAUAUUCGCAAGAACACCAGUGGCGAAGGCGGCUCACUGGACCGGAACUGACGCUGAGGCGCGAAAGCGUGGGGAGCAAACAGG
rnacentral:rRNA from 1 species